rnacentral:pre_miRNA from 1 species
AAUAGGAGCAUGACAAAUUAGAUUUUUCUUCUUGAUUUUCAACUUUUUCCUCCUAAAAAAUUCAAAUCUAACUAAAAAUGCUAAAAAUCAAGAGAAAUAUUUGAUUUGUCAUACUCUUAUU